GCUUGGAUGUCCUGGUUCCCGCUGCAGAGAGUCGAACGGAGGUCUUUCGGUAGUAAGCUGCAAGUGUAGAAUAUCCCCAAGCACGAUAUAAGCAUCAAUAUCCCGGAUCCCUACAACAUGAGUCGAGGCUGCAAGUUGAGGGUCAAAACAAACUGGCUUUACUGGCACAUAGCAUGGCAAUUUAUGUGAUUCCUCAGGUCCAAGGACAGCCCCCUGUGGACCUGAUGGAAUACAGGUACA